GUUUAGUAGGUACAAUAUUGAUGUUCUUAAGCUACUCGUUUGUAUCUUUUGUUUAUUAAGUAAUAUAUACAGCUUGAGGUCUAUUUCAUACCCUAUUUUUGAAUUUUCAUUCGGUGUUCGGUUAUCAUAUUAGAGUUCCGUUAUCAAAUUACAAGGAGGUCUAUGUCAAACAUUUCACCACUAAGUUGAUUGUAAUUUAUUGCAUCUUCACUAAUUUUGGUGAUACUUUCUAUUUUCUUUUUCUUUUUUAAUGUAAUUUGCGCCUUAAGGAGACGCAAAUUCAUUUGCAUUGAUACUUUCUAUUUGUUCUGCACGACAUGAAAUCUUAAUAUCAUUAAUUAGUCAUGAGUGUAAUUAUUCAUAUUCCUUAUUAGUAAGAUGCAUCAUCAACCUUAAAAAGUAAUUAAGCCUGAAUAAUCAAAUAGCUGCUUUAUCAUUGUUGUGGAGCCACAUAAUUUACUUUACUUCGAUAUUAAGAUUCCUUUGCGGGACGCAAAUCUGAAUUAAUUACACAAUUAUAUUUAAAUUGCCCUGGGAAGGAGAUGAAGAAAGGGGAUGGGAAUUAACUCACAUAAAUUUUAUUCAAAAUUACAUAAAAUUGAAUAUAAAACCACGAAACUUCUUUUUUUUUUUUUUUGGGUCAACUAGAACACAUUGUUCAAUAUGUAAACGUUCUGCAAGGUUUCUCUAUCACUUACAAAAUACAAAACAAAAGGGAAAAAACAAAGGUGAAAUUAACUUGACCUCCCAAAGAUUUCUUUUUCCUCGAAAAUCAAAACAAAGCUUAGAUAUUGAAAUAAAUAAAAUAAAGUAGUUCAACGAAGUGUUGAAUAUAAAAAAUGAAGCCAAGCAUCAGACUUGCCUAAGAUUUGCAUUUGUUCAGUUCAUCCUCUUUCCCUUCUUGUUCUUGUUUUUGUUUUUGCUUCUUUCUUUUCCACUCCUAUGAAAACAAGUAUAAUUAUCACCUCGUAACAUUAUUGCCAUUUUAUUUCUUGAAAUCCCCCAAAUAAAGAAGGGAGGAAAAAGAAAGAAAUAUUAAAAAUGAAGAAGAAUAAAGGAAGAUAAGAAGAAGAAGAGGAGUAGGAGGUAAGUGUUAGGAAGAAAAAUGGUGGAAUAUUUAUAAGGGAAAUGGAUAAAAACUUAGUUCAAAGGUA
rnacentral:lncRNA from 1 species